rnacentral:lncRNA from 1 species
GGAUUGUAAAAUUUGGUGGAAAGUUAAGAGAUUUUAGCAGAUAUUUUACUUAUAACUCAGCCCUUUUUCUCUCGGUGCCUUUUUCAAUUAUAGGAUUUCCAAAUCUAUAGCUGUUUGGCUAAUCUGUGGGCAUCUUCUGUGAUGUCAAGUCCCUGCAGCCUCAGCAUCCUUAUCUCCACACACCAUAAGCAUGGCGGUGGAUCCUGCCCAGAGACAGCAGAUAAAGAU